rnacentral:rRNA from 1 species
AUACGGAGGAUGCAAGCGUUAUCCGGAUUUAUUGGGUUUAAAGGGUGCGUAGGCGGUUUGCUAAGCGGGAGGUGAAAUGCCGGCGCUCAACGUCGGAAGUGCCUCCCGAACUGGUGGACUUGAAUGACUCUGCCGUGGGAGGAAUGUGUAGUGUAGCGGUGAAAUGCUUAGAGAUUACACAGAACACCGAGUGCGAAGGCAUCUCACGAAGGGUUGAUUGACGCUGAGGCACGAAAGCGUGGGGAUCAAACAGGAUUAGAUACCCUGGGAGUCCACGCAGUAAACGAUGAUGGCUAACCUCUGGUUUAUUCGGAUCAGUGGCCAAGCGAAAGCGAUAAGCCAUCCACCUGGGGAGUACGGCCGCAAGGUUGAAACUCAAAGGAAUUGACGGGG